rnacentral:rRNA from 1 species
GGUUUGAUCCUGCCAGUAGUCAUAUGAUUCUUUCAAGGACUAAGCCAUGCAAGUGUAAGAGUAAUGCCUUAAAGCAUAGGUCUGCGAAUGGCUCAUUACAACAGCAACAAUCCUAUUGACUAAGUGUGGCUUCGCCCGGGGCUACUCCAUGUGUAUAUCUGGCUCAACCGGCUAGUUAAUACGUGUACGAAAGCACUAUCCUCAUGACCCUGUGUAGGUCUCACGGCUUCCAGGGGAGGGUGGUGGCUUGUGGAUGACUUUAAAGUACUGGCGCCCGAAAGGGCAGUGCAUAUAUGUUGAGUCAGUCCAAUGGGUAGCAAUAGCAGAGCGGCUCCGGCCAGCUGCAAAGUCAUAGGAACUUCUGCCCUAUCAGCUCUUGAUGGUGAGGUAGUGGCUCACCAUGGCAUUGACGGGUAACAGAGAAUUAGGGUUUGAUUCUGGAGAGGGAGCCUGAUGAAAUGGCUACCAGUGCUAUGGCAGGCAGCAGGCGCGCAAAUUGCCCAAUACCAAUCCUUUGGUGAGGCAGCGACGAAAAAUAGCAUUUCCGACUUCUCAAGGAGUCAGAGUUUGCCAUGGAUAGUAUGUAAACACAGUAAUGAGUAACAACUGGAGGGCAAGUCUGGUGCCAGCAGCCGCGGUAAUUCCAGCUCCAGUAGCGAAUACUAAUAUUGUUGCUGUUAAAAAGCUCGUAGUUCGAUGCAGAGUUGAGGCUGUAGGACAGCUCCUUAAAACAAAGUUCAAACAUGAUCGUCAAAUAGCCAUGUUCCGAUACUUUCAAGGAGACUCAACUGUUCUGCAGAAUUUGUCCUCAAACUCUAGGCAGUGGUAUGUCUUGGCCAAGGCUCAUUCAUUUGAGUCCGAGGUGGGAGCACACCCAAGUGAGUGUGUGGUUAGAGGCAAAAGUCCUGCUAUGCAGGCUUCCUCCUCCCUCAGAGACAUAACCGCGAAAGUCAUUGUGAACAAAUCAGUGUGAUCAAAGCAGCUGGUCCUUCUGGCUGAAUGCUUCAGCAUGAAAUGACAAGGGAUCGACCAACGGGUAUUACCCAAGAGUUCUGCCAGUGCUUUGUGACCCUGUUUGGGCAAUGUGGGGCGUCCUACGAUACUUGAUCAUACGGGUCUCCGGACUCGAUCCUGUAUCUAGGCGAACCAAA